rnacentral:rRNA from 1 species
CCUACGGGAGGCUGCAGUGGGGAAUAUUGGACAAUGGGGGGAACCCUGAUCCAGCCAUGCCGCGUGUGUGAAGAAGGCCCUCGGGUUGUAAAGCACUUUCAGUGAGGAAGAACGCCUGGUGGUUAAUACCCAUCAGGAAAGACAUCACUCACAGAAGAAGCACCGGCUAACUCCGUGCCAGCAGCCGCGGUAAUACGGAGGGUGCGAGCGUUAAUCGGAAUUACUGGGCGUAAAGCGCGCGUAGGUGGCUUGAUAAGCCGGUUGUGAAAGCCCCGGGCUCAACCUGGGAACGGCAUCCGGAACUGUCAAGCUAGAGUGGAGGAGAGGAAGGUAGAAUUACCGGUGUAGCGGGGAAAUGCGUAGAGAUCGGGAGGAAGACCAGUGGCGAAGGCGGCCUACUGGACUGAAACUGACGCUGAGGUUCGAAAGCAUGGGUAGCAAACAGGAUUAGAUACCCGAGUAGGC